GAUGAACGCUGGCGGCGUGCCUAAUACAUGCAAGUCGAACGAGGUGCUUUUGUAGCCAUACGCGAGUAUCCUAGUGGCGAACGGGUGAGUAACGCGUUGGUGACCUACCCCAAAGUGUGGAAUAACAGUCCGAAAGGAUUGCUAAUACCGCAUGUGGUUAUCGGGUUUAGAAACUGAUAACUAAAGGAGCAAUUCGCUUUGGGAGGGACCUGCGUCCCAUCAGCUAGUUGGUGAGGUAAUGGCUCACCAAGGCUACGACGGGUAGGGGACCUGAGAGGGUGACCCCCCACAAUGGAACUGAAACACGGUCCAUACACCUACGGGUGGCAGCAGUAGGGAAUAUUGCACAAUGGGCGAAAGCCUGAUGCAGCAACGCCGCGUGCACGAUGAAGGCCUUCGGGGCGUAAAGUGCUUUUCUGGGAGAUGAGAAAGGACAGUAUCCCAGGAAUAAGUCUCGGCUAACUACGUG
rnacentral:rRNA from 1 species